AUCGGCGUGGGUCAUUAGCAUGGAGAUCUGUACUCCAGUUGUGCUUCGAUUCGUGCGAUCGUGCUCCGAUCUGUGCUUCAAUUCGUGGGAUCAUGGGUGUCGCCGUCGGUCUGGCCAUGGGUCGUGGUUGUGGUGCUUGUUUUGCCGUGGUGCUAGGUUUCUAUUUUUGUCAUGGGUUGCUGUGGGUUUCUAUUUGGUUUCCAUUUUUGUCUUUUGGGUUGCUGAAUUUUUGAUUUGUAAGGUGCUCGAUUGUGGGUAUUGGUUGUGGCGGUAUCGGUGCUCGAUUCGUGGGUUUGGGUUGCCGGUGUUAGUGGGUUUUGGUUGUGUUUUCUGGGUCUGAGUUGCUGUGUUUUUUGGGUUUGGGUCUGGGUUUGCUGUGUUUUUCUCAGUUUAGUGCUAGUGUAUCAGAGAUGGAGAAAUGAAUUGUUCUGGGUUUGGGUCUUGCUUGCUCUGUUUCAGAGAUGAGAGAACGAAGAGGAAGAGAGGGACAACAGUUUUCUGACAUUCCAUACCAUUCUCCACUGCUCUGAUUUGGUCAGAUAAAAGUUGUCCUUGAUGUGGCUCUGAAGAUCAAGUGAAUAGUUCUACUAUCUGGGACCCCUUCUUUUUCGAGGUUGUGGCACAUUUAAACAAUGCGACCAUUCCUUUUUAAUUGAUACUCUAUCUCACUUGGCUUUCUAAUGUUUUGUGUGGCUUUAUUUUUUAAUUUUUGUUUAAUGAAUUCUAAUAUCUUAGUUGUAUAUUUCCUAGGUGAUCAUAGGCCAUAUGACAUUUUUUCAUCAGGAUUUCUCCAAGGGAAUUUGCUUGGAAGAGUUGAAUGUGUUACUUAGGCAAACUAUUACGGUUUGUGCUCUUGUUCUCAAUAUGUUACUGUUAGUGAAGUUGAAGCACCUUUUGAGCUUUAGAAGAGCAUUAGCAGUUAUGUAAUCAAUGAUGGGUUGAUAAACAAGUUGCCUUGUAUGUUCUUCCACGAGCAGGAGAUUCACUGUGGUAUAUUUUAGUGAACCGCCACCUGCUUCCAGAUAUUAAGAAUGCAGAGGUAUUGCUAAAAUUGUUGCCAUACUUUUCUGAAGGCAUUUUUAAUUGUUUUAAUCCAAAUUUAGUGGUUCAAAACACUAUGAGGACAAAAUCCAGGAUAGUGGGCCUUACCCAUUUUCACUUAUAUUCGUGAAAUUUUAUAAAAAUUUAGAAUCUAUUUAAUGGGUUAAGAAUUUUUUCAAAAGAGGCUAUUCACACACUUAUAGUCUUAUACAUGUUAUUUAUGGUUAAUUCCAAGACAAAUACUAGUUGCCCCUAACAAUAUCUUACUUACAACACUCCUCAGGUUGGGACAUAGAUAUUAUAUAAUCAGAGCUAAUACUAUAUUAUGUAAUUAUUUGUUUAUGUAAUUAAUCUUUUGGCAAUGAACUUGUUUUGUU